rnacentral:ncRNA from 1 species
UAGGAACCGUGAGAUUAAGCCAUCGCGGCAGGUGCUCACGUUAAGCCCACUGACUUUCAUGUCCCUAUCUACUAUCUAGCGAAACCACAGCCAAGGGAACGGGCUUGGAAUAAUUAGCGGGGAAAGAAGACCCUUUUGAGCUUGACUCUAAUCUGGCAGUGUAAGGAGACAUAAGAGGUGUAGAAUAAGUGGGAGAUAUUAGACUUCGGUUUGGUAUCGACAAUGAAAUACCACUACUCUUAUUGUUUCCUUACUUACUUGAUUAAAUGGAACGUGUAUCAUUUCCUAGCCAUUAUACGGAUAUAAUUAUUAUGUCUUAUGGUAUUGGGUUUUGAUGCAAGCUUCUUGAUCAAAGUAUCACGAGUUUGUUAUAUAAUCGCAAACAAAUUCUUUAAUGAGAGAAUGCAUUUAUGUAUUAUUGAUUUAAAAAUUUGGUAUAACUCCAAUUACUCAGGUAUGAUCCAAUUCAAGGACAUUGCCAGGUAGGGAGUUUGACUGGGGCGGUACAUCUCUCAAAUAAUAACGGAGGUGUCCCAAGGCCAGCUCAGUGCGGACAGAAACCACACAUAGAGCAAAAGGGCAAAUGCUGACUUGAUCUCGGUGUUCAGUACACACAGGGACAGCAAAAGCUCGGCCUAUCGAUCCUUUUGGUUUAAAGAGU